GCAGUAAAUGGAAACUGUAUUUCUGCCAAAAGGUCCAGCACAAUAUAAUUUUUCCUGCUUCUUUUUCUUUCUCUUUAUCCUUUUUUAAAAUCAUCAGUUACAAAUAUUCCCUAACUUCUAAGUGACAGGCUUGUUACAUUUAUCAAAUGUUAAAAUUCUGAUAUUUGAUUUAAAAUUCUAAGUCACAAAGUAGGAAAAUGCUGUCAGAGAUUUAAUACCGUCACUGGAAAUGGAACAUUUAAAAAAUGUUUUUAUGCAUAUUGAAAUGUGACACAAACCUGAAACUUUCAUUUUGGAUAUUGGUAAUUUCUGUGGUUUUCUCCAGGUAAUUAUCUCAAUUAUUCACAAGUGUUUUCAUUUGCAUAAUACAUGAAAAAAAUGGACGUUUCAGGUUUGUGACAAAUAUCAGUCUCACAUGAAAAUACAAUCAUUGUUUUCACCCACGAGCUGCCUACGAACGUCUCAGCUAAGUUAAUUACUCGGCCUUUCUCUUUGUCUUUUUGCUGCCACAGCACCUGUAGAAGCAGAAACUGCAGGUCUUGAUGAGGGUGAACAUGAGGAACAGAACGAUGGACAGGAGGAAGGCUA